rnacentral:rRNA from 1 species
UGAGGAAUAUUGGGCAAUGCCCGCAAGGGUGACCCAGCAACGCCGCGUGGAGGAUGAAUGUCGUAAGAUUGUCAACUCCUGUUAGAGGGGAAGAAUAGUACCGGUUGGACCGGUAUAUGACUGUACCCUCAGAGAAAGCCCCGGCUAACUACGUGCCAGCAGCUGCGGUAAUACGUAGGGGGCAAGCGUUGUCCGGAUUUACUGGGUGUAAAGGGCGCGCAGGCGGGAUAAAAAGUCAGUGGUGAAAUCCUACAGCUUAACUGUAGAACUGCCUUUGAUACUUUUAUUCUUGAGUUCAGGAGAGAGAGACGGAAUUCCAGGUGUAGUGGUGAAAUACGUAGAUAUCUGGAAGAACACCAGUUGCGAAGGCGGUCUCUUGGUCCGACACUGACGCUGAGGCGCGAAAGCGUGGGGAGCAAACA